UCCUGGCUCAGGAUGAACGCUGGCGGCGUGCUUAACACAUGCAAGUCGAGCGGAGUGAAUUGAGAGCUUGCUUUUGAUUCACUUAGCGGCGGACGGGUGAGUAACGUGUGGGCAACCUGCCUCAUACUGUGGAAUAACAGAGGGAAACUUCUGCUAAUACCGCAUAAGACCACAGGAUGGCAUCAUCAAGGGGUCAAAGGUUAGAUCUGGUGAUAGAUGAGCUUGCGUAUCAUUAGCUAGUUGGUGAGGGUAAAGGCCCACCAAGUCGACGAUGAUUAGCCGAUCUGAGAGGAUGACCGGCCACACUGGGACUGAGAUACGGCCCAGACUCCUACGGGAGGCAGCAGUUAGGAAUAUUGGGCAAUGGAGGAAACUCUGACCCAGCAACGCCGCGUGAAGGAAGAAGGUUUUCGGACUGUAAACUUCUGAUCUAAGGGAAAAAGAAAGUGAUGGUACCUUAGGAGAAAGCCACGGCUAACUACGUGCCAGCAGCCGCGGUAA
rnacentral:rRNA from 1 species